UACGGGGGGGGCAAGCGUUGUUCGGAAUUACUGGGCGUAAAGGGCUCGUAGGUGGCCAACUAAGUCAGACGUGAAAUCCCUCGGCUUAACCGGGGAACUGCGUCCGAUACUGGUUGGCUUGAAUUCGGGAGAGGGAUGCGGAAUUCCAGGUGUAGCGGUGAAAUGCGUAGAUAUUCGCAAGAACACCAGUGGCGAAGGCGGCUCACUGGCCCGAUACUGACGCUGAGGUGCGAAAGCGUGGGGAGCAAACAGGG
rnacentral:rRNA from 1 species